CUGGCUCAGAACGAACGCUGGUGGCGUGUCUUAUACAUGCAAGUCGAGCGAGGCAGCAAUGCCGAGCGGCGAACGGGUGAGUAACGCGUAAGCAAUCUGCCCCAUAUCAGGAAAUACCCGUGCCAACGCGCGGUUAAUGUCCAGGAGAGUGGCCUUCCGCAUGGAGGGUUGACUAGAGAUUUAUCGGUAUGGGAUGAGCUUGCGUCCGAUUAGCUAGUUGGCGGGGCAACGGCCCACCAAGGCGACGAUCGGUAGCCGGCCUGAGAGGGUGAUCGGCCACAUUGGGACUGAGAUACGGCCCAGACUCCUACGGGAGGCAGCAGUAGGGAAUAUUGCACAAUGGGGGAAACCCUGAUGCAGCAACGCCACGUGUGGGAAGAAGCAUUUCGGUGUGUAAACCACUGUCAUGAGGGAAUAAGGCCCUUAUUCGUAAGGGAUUGAAUGUACCUUGAGAGGAAGCACCGGCAAACUUCGUGCCAGCCGCCGC
rnacentral:rRNA from 1 species